rnacentral:tRNA from 1 species
CAGAAAAUAGUUUAUAUAAAAUAUUAGUUUUGGAGAUUAAAGAUGGAAUGAUUUUCUUUUCUGA